GCCUGGGUGGCUCAGUCGGUUAAGCAUCUGACUUCGGCUCAGGUCAUGAUCUCGCGGUUUGUGGGUUCGAGCCCCGCUUCGGGCU
rnacentral:tRNA from 1 species